UCCUCGGUAGUACUUAUAGUGGUCAGUAUCCCCGACUGUCACGCGCGGGAGACCGGGGUUCGAUUCCCCGCCGGGGGU